rnacentral:SRP_RNA from 1 species
GCACGGUGGCACACACCUGUAAUCCUUGCUGCUCAUGCUGCUGAGGCCAGCAGAUUUCUUGAGUUUGGGAGUUCUGCACUGUAAUGGCUAAGCAAGAUCAGGGGUCCACACUAAGUUCAGCAUUGAUGUAGUGUGCUUCUUUGAGCAAGGGAUCACUGGGGCACCUGAAGAUCUGGCCCAGCUUGGAAAUGGAGCUGGUCAAAGCUUCCAUGUUGAUUAGUGGUGGGAACUGGCCCAUGAACAACACCUGGACUUCCAGCCUUGGCAUGAGAAAGAGACCCAAUCUUA